rnacentral:rRNA from 1 species
GUUGAACGCUGGCGGCAUGCUUUACACAUGCAAGUCGAACGGCAGCACGGGUGCUUGCACCUGGUGGCGAGUGGCGAACGGGUGAGUAAUGCAUCGGAACGUGCCCAUGAGUGGGGGAUAGCCCGGCGAAAGCCGGAUUAAUACCGCAUACGCCCUUAGGGGGAAAGCGGGGGAUCUUCGGACCUCGCGCUAUUGGAGCGGCCGAUGUCGGAUUAGCUAGUAGGUGAGGUAAAGGCUCACCUAGGCGACGAUCCGUAGCUGGUCUGAGAGGAUGAUCAGCCACACUGGGACUGAGACACGGCCCAGACUCCUACGGGAGGCAGCAGUGGGGAAUUUUGGACAAUGGGCGCAAGCCUGAUCCAGCCAUGCCGCGUGAGUGAAGAAGGCCUUCGGGUUGUAAGCGUCUUCAGGUGGAAAGAAAUAAGACGCUGUUUAAUAGAUGGCGUUGAUGACGGUACCGACCAGAAGAAGACACCGGCUAACUACGUACG